rnacentral:rRNA from 1 species
UCGAGAAUAUUCGACAAUGGGCGAAAGCCUGAUCGAGCGACGCCGCGUGCAGGAUGAAGUGCUUCGGUAUGUAAACUGCUUUUGUAGACUAGAAAGUUUAUUGAUCGGUCUAAGAAUAAGAGGUUGCUAAACUCGUGCCAGCAGCAGCGGUAAUACGAGUGCCUCGAGCGUUAUCCGGAAUCAUUGGGCGUAAAGGGUGUGCAGGCGGUCUGAUUAGUCUUUUGUUAAAUUCUUCGGCUUAACCGGGGACAUGCAGGGGAAACGGUCAGACUAGAGGAUGCGAGAGGUUAACGGAACUCAUAGUGUAGCGGUGAAAUGCGUUGAUAUUAUGGGGAACACCAAAUGCGAAGGCAGUUAACUGGAGCACUCCUGACGCUGAAACACGAAAGCGUGGGUAGCGAAUGGG